rnacentral:snRNA from 1 species
GUGCCUUAAACUAAUGAGUAAGGAAAACAAAGCGUCUGGUGAGAACCGGUCGCAGCGCUAAUCGUAAAACACUAAAGUGGCGCAAGAAUUUAUGGAGGGGUUUAAAAUAAAAUGACACAGUUUUUGUUUCCAAUAUUUAAAAAAAAAAACGCC